GGGAUAUCUUUGGGUCCCAGAUUUAUUCAAGAUUCCAGAGGUCUUUGCCUUGCUGGGCGUACCCACUCCUGCUCUGCCAUCGUUCAUGUAGUAAAGCUCAACUACUUGUGGAUGAAGUGAUAGAUACCAAUGAGCCAGACCCUUGGAGAAAGGAAGACUAUGUAGAGCUUCAUCAACAAGUCCUCUGGCCCUAUGCAAGUCUACAGAAAGAUAAUGUUUUAACAUCUGAAUGUUUUAAAAGGAAGUUACACAUUUACACAUUAAAUGCUUAUCUCUGAGCUUUAAAAGUGCAGUGAUGUGUGUUAGCACACUUCUUGGAGCUCAUUACAUUUCAGUGAUAUUACUAAAAACACAGUCAACAUCUUUGAGACUUGCAUUUCUUUCUGUACAAAAGGACCUCAUUAUGUGGAGCUAGACAAUCUGCUGGAGAUCCGAAAUGGUGUAUGCGUUUUUGCAAGCAUAAACAGUUUGACAGUAAUUUCACUUCAAUGCUAUGUU